UCAAUGGGUUGACUUAGAGCACAGUUAACACUGGGCACGGCCCUGUGUGUAUAGGAGAGAUUCCCAGGGAUGUAUAGUAUUACAUCCUUUUUGGAAGGGAGGUGAGGUGCCUUCAGAUCCUGUGAAUCCACGGACACACCAACUCCUCCCUCUCCAAGAGUGACCUACUUUGGUCCUCACAGCUGAUUGAACACUGCUGGCAAGACAUCCAUGCUACUGGAACUUCCCAUGAAUGGACCAGGGUGCCUUUGAUGGUGUAGGUGUUCUUCUGGUGAUGGGCCUUUGCUUGGCUGCAGUAUGGUACCCUUUACCCUUUUCACCUGCUAGAGAUCAAAAAUAUCCCAACGAACUGGGGGUGCAAUCCUGCACACCAUUCUACCUCUGCCACUGUGGAUUUCACCAUAGUUCAGUGCUGCAACUCUAUGGAGAGAUCAUAACAUAGCCUUAAACUGUAUUGAUGCGCAAUGUUGUGGUGGAACAGUGCAGUGCGUAAGUGAUUUCUCUCUUUUUCUCUCUUUGCCCGACACCUGUGAAAUCAUGUUUUCCGUCCUAUCAUUUAUAAGUACUCCCCCCCCCUUUUCCCAGGGUUUCUUCACUUUAUCACCCCAGUUAACUACAUUCUGCUUCAACAUUAACCUAGGCUGACAUAUGAUGAAAGAACAUAAGGAGUUUUCAUUUUUAGCUGAAACGGGGUCAUUAGUCUCCAACCACAAACAAAAGCUUUAAAUACCUUUAUCGGGCAAAGUUUCCAUGAUAUAUUAUCUAUCACCUGACCAUUGUAGCUGGAAGGGGUCUCCUUACCUCCCCUCCCCUUUUUGGAGACAGAUGGAUUAAAUAUUUCAAGUUUAACCAGGGAGAUGCCACACAAUGGGUUUUUUUAGACUUAUGAAUAGCACCGUUCCCCAUUUCUCACUUCAUGGAGUAUUUCUGCAGCCCUGGACUUCAUUCUAACCCUUUCCCUCCCUGCUUUGUUUGUCUUUUGUUUCGCAACAGCUGUUAUUAUCGUUUUUUGGUCAGCUGUGAUUGCUGGAGGCAAAAGAGGACCAGAUGGUGUUUUGCGAUGCAUGAAUGGCAAGUCAGAGGAGCCUGGAUUGAAUAGGCCAAGUCUGAAUGGUGUCUAUGCACCACCUGCCUCCUUCAACAGCAGCAGCGCAGAUCACAGAAGUAUGAUCUGUCUCAGACCAACCCACAUCAGAGGGGGAAUGAAGAGAGCCUUGUUGGGUUUUCUCCAUAUUUAUUGAUCUUCCAUGCACUAACAACAUAAUGCGGUGCACAGUCAAUUUGAAUUAAUUGGAUAUGACACAGCGUGCGCAUGUAAUCUAUCACUGUAGUCGUCUGGUACGCUAUGGGGAUUUCCCCCCCUGUCACAGGAACAUGUGAAUCUGUAACAAUGUGCAUUAAUUAACAGAGGAGACAGGAGCAACACGAGAG